GAUCCUGGCUCAGGAUGAACGCUAGCUACAGGCUUAACACAUGCAAGUCGAGGGGCAGCAUGGUCUUAGCUUGCUAAGGCCGAUGGCGACCGGCGCACGGGUGAGUAACGCGUAUCCAACCUGCCUUACACUCUUGGACAGCCUUCUGAAAGGGAGAUUAAUACAAGAUGUUAUCAUGAGUAAGCAGUUUUCGCAUUGNUUAAAGGUUUACCGGUGUAAGAUGGGGAUGCGUUCCA
rnacentral:rRNA from 1 species